rnacentral:rRNA from 1 species
AGAUUAAGUUAUUAAGGGCGCACGGUGGAUGCCUUGGCACUAGAAGCCGAUGAAGGACGUUACUAACGACGAUAUGCUUUGGGGAGCUGUAAGUAAGCUUUGAUCCAGAGAUUUCCGAAUGGGGAAACCCAGCAUGAGUUAUGUCAUGUUAUCGAUAUGUGAAUACAUAGCAUAUCAGAAGGCACACCCGGAGAACUGAAACAUCUUAGUACCCGGAGGAAGAGAAAGAAAAUUCGAUUCCCUUAGUAGCGGCGAGCGAAACGGGAAGAGCCCAAACCAACAAGCUUGCUUGUUGGGGUUGUAGGACACUCUAUACGGAGUUACAAAGGACGACAUUAGACGAAUCAUCUGGAAAGAUGAAUCAAAGAAGGUAAUAAUCCUGUAGUCGAAAAUGUUGUCUCUCUUGAGUGGAUCCUGAGUACGACGGAGCACGUGAAAUUCCGUCGGAAUCUGGGAGGACCAUCUCCUAAGGCUAAAUACUCUCUAGUGACCGAUAGUGA